rnacentral:rRNA from 1 species
GAUGAACGCUGGCGGCGUGCUUAACACAUGCAAGUCGAACGAGAGGCGAUCGGGUGAGUAAUACGUGGUAACCUGCCCUCCUUUUUGGGAUAAGCGUUGGAAACGGGGUAUAAUACCGAAUGAAGGGGGAUGGGCUCGCGGCCUAUCCUCUUGUUGGUGGGGUGAUGGCCUACCUAGGCGGUGACGGGUAGCUGGUCUGAUAGGAUGAUCAGCCACACUGGGACUGAGACAGUGGCCAGACUCCUACGUGAGGCAGCAGUGGGGAAUAUUGCACAAUGGGCGCAAGCCUGGUGCAGCCAUGCCGCGUGUAUGAAGAAGGCCUUAGGGUUGUAAAGUACUUUCAGCGGGGAGGCGUUACCAGCAGAAGAAGCACCGGCUAACUCCGUGCCAGCAGCCGCGGUAAUAC